rnacentral:rRNA from 1 species
GUUGGCCCAAAAUGAAACUAGAUACAAGCGAGCGGCGGACGGGUGAGUAACACGUGGGUAACUUGCCGAAGAGACUGGGAUAACACCUGGAAACAGAUGCUAAUACCGGAUAACAACACUAGACGCAUGUCUAGAGUUUAAAAGAUGGUUCUGCUAUCACUCUUGGAUGGACCUGCGGUGCAUUAGCUAGUUGGUAAGGUAACGGCUUACCAAGGCAAUGAUGCAUAGCCGAGUUGAGAGACUGAUCGGCCACAUUGGGACUGAGACACGGCCCAAACUCCUACGGGAGGCAGCAGUAGGGAAUCUUCCACAAUGGACGCAAGUCUGAUGGAGCAACGCCGCGUGAGUGAAGAAGGGUUUCGGCUCGUAAAGCUCUGUUGGUAGUGAAGAAAGAUAGAGGUAGUAACUGGCCUUUUUUGACGGUAAUUACUUAGAAAGUCACGGCUAACUACGUGCCAGCAGCCCGGUAAUACGUAGGUGGCAAGCGUUGUCCGGAUUUAUUGGGCGUAAAGCGAGUGCAGGCGGUUCAAUAAGUCUGAUGUGAAAGCCUUCGGCUCAACCGGAGAAUUGCAUCAGAAACUGUUGAACUUGAGUGCAGAAGAGGAGAGUGGAACUCCAUGUGUAGCGGUGGAAUGAGUAGAUAUAUGGAAGAACACCAGUGGCGAAGGCAGCUCU